UCCUACGGGGGGCAGCAGUAGGGAAUAUUGCUCAAGGGGGGAAACCCUGAAGCAGCAACGCCGCGGGGAGGAUGAAGGUUUUCGGAUUGUAAACUCCUUUUGUUAGAGAAGAUAAUGACGGUAUCUAACGAAUAAGCACCGGCUAACUCCGUGCCAGCAGCCGCGGUAAUACGGAGGGUGCAAGCGUUACUCGGAAUCACUGGGCGUAAAGAGCGCGUAGGCGGGAUAGCAAGUCAGAUGUGAAAUCCUAUGGCUUAACCAUAGAACUGCAUUUGAAACUGUUAUUCUAGAGUAUGGGAGAGGUA
rnacentral:rRNA from 1 species